UUGUUUUGACUUAAUUAAAACGCUAAGGCAUUUUUAAAAACCCUGAAAAUAAUUGUGGGCUUGUUUGGAAUAUUUUCCAACAGCCCCCACUUAAGUUCAGAAUUAUUUGGACAUUUAAAAUAUUAUAUAGCAUUUAAUUGUCCAAAUUCAAAUACGUAUGAAUUAACUCCAAAAUCCAUAAAUGUCCAAGAAAUGUGUGCAUCAUUUUUGAAAGAAGUUUUCACCCAUUCCAAAAUUGAUGAACUUUUCUAAAGGCCAUUUUGGGUAGAUGGAAAAGAUUUAAUUUGACCCUAGUUGUAUUUCAUUUGCUGCUAGGGUUUAUCAGUCCCCAUUUCAAGUUUAAUUAAACUUAGACAUGAUGCAACACAAGAUGCUAGCGCUAAGCAUUGCCAGAACUAGGGAUGUGACAUACAUGCACAACUUCUGUCAGAAAAGUGAUAGCGGUUUAGAAGCCUGAUCCGCUAGAGUAUCAUCACUGAAAAUUUGAUUGAUCAUCCAAGUUGAUUUAACCAGAACUAAAAGCAAACAAUCUUAUACAUGAAUACCCAUAUGGCUGUAAUCAAAACUAAAACACGCUAUUUUAAACAUGGGCAGGAAAGUAUAAUUGAGUGCAGUAUUUGGGAGAUUAUGAUGGUGUACUCAAUAUAAAUGUAACCAGUCAGCUUCUAUAGGGAAUGCAAAUACUCAUGGAAUAAAAUAAUAGAGUACAUCUUUGCAGAAAUAAGGUACAUGUUUCCUUACCUGUAGGCAAAAUGCAACAUACUAUUUUAUUUCUUGCAGCCCUUAGCAUCCUGUAAAAAUAAAAUAAGAAGUCAUCUUAGAUGGUCUGUGAAAGCGGAUACAUGAAUGGUACUGACAUGAUAUAUUUUCUGCCCGCUAGCAAGUUAUUAAGCAAGAUCAUCAAUUAUUUCUUUAUAGACCACAUGUGAGUUUUGCCAGCGUUUUCAGGAGAGUUAUUUUCAAAUUUGUAAUCUGAGGACUGACCAAGAGAUACUCACAUCUGUCAAAAUAGGAACCCUAGGCACUAAAUUUGAGAUGUCCAUAAUUACUCCAACAUAGUAACCGACCCAUACUAUGUAAACUGAGUUUUCUAAAUACUUCAAAAAGAAGUGUAGAGGCAAGAAUGUGUCUUCCAUAGGUAUGUUUACUUUUUCUAAAAGUGUAUUCAAAUGGUAGUAUGUAAAAAAGGUGAAGACUGAUAAUGUGGUAUGCAUAUAUCAUAAUUAUUAUCAAUUCACCGGUAGGUGUAAAAAGGCUGAAUUGAAAUGGCCGCAAAUUUCCUCCAGCCACAAAUGUAGCCAUACCCAUGGUGUCCAAAAAGCACCUUAUGGUUCUUGGUGAAUACCUAGCGCGCGGUGGGGUCACAACCACUCUAGAAGAGAGUGGCAGCUAGGCGAGGCAGAGUAAGACCUGAGCGAGGGCUGCAAAGUGAAAGGCAGAGCAGAGUGGUGAUUGUAGACUGAUGAUUAUGAGUAAAAACAUACAAUUAGAUUUGUUAUACUUAUCCAAUCUGCACAUUUUGUAAUAUACUUCAGCACUAAUGCCAUUACACCAUCUAGCAUCAUCUAGGAUUUUAGCACCUCUAGCUCUAGUAGUCUAACAAAGCAUAGAACUGAAAAUAAAUACUCAAUUCGGUAAGUUUUUAUGAACUAUAUGCCACAUAAGCAAUGCCCU
rnacentral:lncRNA from 1 species